UCUCAGAUCCUCAGUCGUCAUUUUCCGAUAACGAAUCUCGCCCGGCGCCGGCUAGUACCUUGGUUCCUCCGCUGACCGUCGACGCCACACAUUCCUCCACCUUCUGCCGUGAACCGUCGUCCACUGCCCAGCCUUCAGAAUCCCAUAAUACAGAUGGUGGUGAUGUGUUCAUGGAAGAAGACGAGAUCCCCAGAUCCACUGAUGUGGAAAUGGAUGACAAAAAAAACAGUACGACAGAACUAAUAAACCCUAGUAGAAAGAGAUCGGUCUACUAUCCACAAGCGACGAUAAUGGCUCCAGCAAGUCCUGGGACAAGUUCUAUAGACGCCAUCAGGGAAAGUUCUUCAAGGAUCGGCAUUACUUGGAGAAGGAUUGGGGACAAUACUUCUCCGAUGAUUCUCUAACUUCCUCAAAAGGCAAGAUCGUUCUAG